UCUUCAUUUUCCUUUGCUUUCCUUUCUACGAUGCUCAAAAUGCUACUACUGAUCCAUCUGAAGUGAGGGCAUUGAACUUGCUAUUAGGGGGAUGGGAUGCACAAGCUGUGGCACUAUGGAACNNNNNNNNNGGAUCUGCCAUUAAUGCUACAGAUUUUGAGGACGGAGACAACAAUCCAGCGAUCAAGUGUGAUUGUUCCUACAACAACAAUAAUACUUGCCAUAUCACCCAAUUGAGAGUUUAUGCUUUGCAAAAAAGGGGAACAAUCCCAGAAGUAAUUGUGGCUUUGAAAUAUUUGACUUUGCUGAAAAUUGAUCAAAAUUACUUCACAGGUCCCUUGCCUGCAUAUAUUGGAAAUUUAUCAUCAUUGAAGUCUUUGUCCAUCGCUCAUAAUGCAUUUUCUGGGAGCAUUCCAAAGGAAAUUGGAAAUCUUAAGGAGCUAACCUUACUGUCAAUAGGAGUAAAUAACUUCAGUGGAACACUCCCUCCAGAAAUAG
rnacentral:misc_RNA from 1 species